rnacentral:lncRNA from 1 species
AAUUAAUAAAGAAAGAAAUAAUACAUGACACUUUGAGUUAAAAGGGUGAAAUUUUGGCGCAGUAGUAAAUAAGGAUUUAAGUGCUGUAAUACGAAAUUGUACCGAAAACUUGUUAAUACAGUAUGGCACAGUGCGUGCCGAACUGUAUCGAUACGUGCUCAUCAUAAAAAAUUCAUGUGUGUCGACACAUAAUAACAUGAAAUAUUUAUUUUCUUUAGCAACAAAAUAUUCUAACUGUUUAUUAUAUAUUUUUAUCAAAUCUUUUAAACUUUAUUGAAAAAGUCAUUGACUAAUUUAAAGAAUAGAGGGUUUUGAAUUGUCCAAACAUUACGGAAGUUAUAUCGUGCUGAUAUCUUGUUGGCACAAUACGGCACGAUAGAUACGGCCCGUGCCGAUGGGU